rnacentral:rRNA from 1 species
CACGUAGGGUGCGAGCGUUGUCCGGAAUUAUUGGGCGUAAAGAGCUCGUAGGCGGUCUGUCGCGUCGGUCGUGAAAACUUGGGGCUUAACCCUGAGCUUGCGGUCGAUACGGGCAUGACUGGAGUUCGGCAGGGGAGACUGGAAUUCCCGGUGUAGCGGUGGAAUGCGCAGAUAUCAGGAGGAACACCGGUGGCGAAGGCGGGUCUCUGGGCAGUAACUGACGCUGAGGAGCGAAAGCGUGGGGAGCGAACAGG